GGGGUUGUAGCUUAGUGGUAGAGCACAUGCCUAAAAUGUGUGAGGCACUGGGCUCCAAUCUCAGCACCA
rnacentral:tRNA from 1 species